AGGAGGCCUCCCCUGAUGAGAAAGAGCUUGGAGUAUCGAGAAGGGUUCAGUCACCUAGUUCAAGAAACAGAAUUGGAGGAUACAGCCUUAGAAUACUUACAGGACUUCUGCUCUUCUCACGUAUGCGAUGAAGACAGCGAGGAACAGCAGCCGAGCCUCCCUCAAGGCUCCCACCAGAAAUGGGGCGCGGGUGUGCACUGUGGAAUGCACACACUGAGACCCCUCAGGGGCAGACCCGGUGUCUUUCUGAGGACCACUGCAUCUGCGGUUUGGGCUGCCAAAACGUGGCUGGUGGCCAGAGGGCUUGACUUUGCUGUGAAGUCUCCACAAAAUAAUGAUACAG
rnacentral:lncRNA from 1 species